GCUACCGGACGACCGGCAGCUCACAGUUUGAAGGCGGGACGACCCGC
rnacentral:ncRNA from 1 species